rnacentral:rRNA from 1 species
UGUCGAUGAGGAGCGAAAGCAUGGGGAGCGAACCGGAUUAGAUACCCUGGUAGUCCAUGCCGUAAACGUUGGGCACUAGGUGUGGGGCUCAUUCCACGAGUUCCGUGCCGCAGCUAACGCAUUAAGUGCCCCCGCCUGGGGAGUACGGCCGCAAGGCUAAAACUCAAAGGAAUUGACGGGGGCCCGCACAAGCGGCGGAGCAUGCGGAUUAAUUCGAUGCAACGCGAAGAACCUUACCAAGGCUUGACAUACACCGGAAACGGCCAGAGAUGGUCGCCCCGUAAGGUCGGUGUACAGGUGGUGCAUGGUUGUCGUCAGCUCGUGUCGUGAGAUGUUGGGUUAAGUCCCGCAACGAGCGCAACCCUCGUCCCAUGUUGCCAGCGGGUUAUGCCGGGGACUCAUGGGAGACUGCCGGGGUCAACUCGGAGGAAGGUGGGGAUGACGUCAAAUCAUCAUGCCCCUUAUGUCUUGGGCUUCACGCAUGCUACAAUGGCCGGUACAAAGGGCUGCGAUACCGUAAGGUGGAGCGAAUCCCAAAAAGCCGGUCUCAGUUCGGAUUGGGGUCUGCAACUCGACCCCAUGAAGUCGGAGUCGCUAGUAAUCGCAGAUCAGCAACGCUGCGGUGAAUACGUUCCCGGGCCUUGUACACACCGCCCGUCAAGUCACGAAAGUCGGUAACACCCGAAGCCCAUGGCCCAACCCUUGUGGGG